UGACCGUACUAAGGUAGCAUAAUAAUUUGCCUUUUAAUUGGAGGCUAGUAUGAAUGGCUUGACGUGAAAUAUACUGUCUCAACUAUAUUUAGUAGAAUUUAACUUUUAGGUGAAGAGGCCUAAAUCUUGUGGGAAGACAAGAAGACCCUAUUGAGCUUUAAAUAUUUGUGUUAGUGAGAGCUUAAGGUUUAUAUGAUGGUCACUAUUUCUAAGUAUGUUGGUUGGGGCGACCGAGGAGCGCAAAAAUAACCUCCUCGUAAUGUAAAGAAUUUGUUAUCAAGGAACCUGUAAUAUAGGUUAUUCGGUAGUUACCAUAGGGAUAACAGCGUAAUUCUUUUGAAGAGUUCAUAUCGAAGAAAGAGAUUGCGACCUCGAUGUUGGAUUAAGGUGUCCUAAGGG
rnacentral:rRNA from 1 species